rnacentral:rRNA from 1 species
GUGCUUAACACAUGCAAGUCGAGCGAAGCGAUUCUAAGGAAGCCUUCGGGUGGAAUUAAAAUUGACUGAGCGGCGGACGGGUGAGUAACGCGUGGGUAACCUGCCUCAUACAGGGGGAUAACAGUUAGAAAUGACUGCUAAUACCGCAUAAGCGCACAGUGCUGCAUAGCACAGUGUGAAAAACUCCGGUGGUAUGAGAUGGACCCGCGUCUGAUUAGGUAGUUGGUAGGGUAACGGCCUACCAAGCUGACGAUCAGUAGCCGACCUGAGAGGGUGACCGGCCACAUUGGGAUUGAGACACGGCCCAAACUCCUACGGGAGGCAGCAGUGGGGAAUAUUGGACAAUGGGGGAAACCCUGAUCCAGCGACGCCGCGUGAGUGAAGAAGUAUUUCGGUAUGUAAAGCUCUAUCAGCAGGGAAGAAAAUGACGGUACCUGACUAAGAAGCCCCGGCUAACUACGUGCCAGCAGCCGCGGUAAUACGUAGGGGGCAAGCGUUAUCCGGAUUUACUGGGUGUAAAGGGAGCGUAGACGGCGAUGCAAGUCUGGAGUGAAAGCCCGGGGCUCAACCCCGGGACUGCUUUGGAAACUGUGUUGCUAGAGUGCAGGAUGAGGUAAGUGGAAUUCCUAGUGUAGCGGUGAAAUGCGUAGAUAUUAGGAGGAACACCAGUGGCGAAGGCGGCUUACUGGAUCUGUAACUGACGUUGNNGGCUCGAAAGCGUGGNGAGCNAACAGGAUUAGAUACCCUGGUAGUCCNCGCCGUAAACGAUGAAUACNUAGGUGUUGGGGAGCAAAGCUCUUCGGUGCGGCCGCUAACGCACUAAGUAUUCCACCCGGGGAGUACGUUCUCACGAAUGAAACUCAAAGGAAUUGACGGGGACCCGCACAAGCGGUGGAGCAUGUGGUUUAAUUUGAAGCAACGCGAAGAACCUUACCAAGUCUUGACAUCGGAAUGACCGGUCUGUAACGGGGCCUUCCCUUCGGGGCAUUCCAGACAGGUGGUGCAUGGUUGUCGUCAGCUCGUGUCGUGAGAUGUUGGGUUAAGUCCCGCACCGAGCGCACCCCUUAUCCUUAGUAGCCAGCAGUUCGGCUGGGCACUCUGGGGAGACUGCCAGGGAUAACCUGGAGGAAGGUGGGGAUGACGUCAAAUCAUCAUGCCCCUUAUGAUGUGGGCUACACACGUGCUACAAUGGCGUAAACAAAGGGAAGCAAAGCCGCGAGGUGGAGCAAAUCCCAAAAAUAACGUCUCAGUUCGGAUUGUAGUCUGCAACUCGACUACAUGAAGCUGGAAUCGCUAGUAAUCGCAGAUCAGAAUGCUGCGGUGAAUACGUUCCCGGGUCUUGUACACACCGCCCGUCACACCAUGGGAGUUGG